rnacentral:rRNA from 1 species
GGGCGUAAGAGCUCGUAGGCGGUUCAGCAAGUCGGGUGUGAAAACUCUGGGCUUAACCCAGAGCCUGCACCCGAAACUGCUGUGACUAGAGUUUGGUAGGGGAGCGGGGAAUUCCUGGUGUAGCGGUGAAAUGCGCAGAUAUCAGGAGGAACACCGGUGGCGAAGGCGCCGCUCUGGGCCAAUACUGACGCUGAGGAGCGAAAGCGUGGGUAGCAAACAGGAUUAGAUACCCUGGUAGUCCACGCCGUAAACGUUGGGCACUAGGUGUGGGUCUCAACCAACGAGAUCCGCGCCGUCGCUAACGCAUUAAGUGCCCCGCCUGGGGAGUACGGUCGCAAGACUAAAACUCAAGGGAAUUGACGGGGGCCCGCACAAGCAGCGGAGCGUGUUGCUUAAUUCGAUGCUACGCGAAGAACCUACCUAGGUUAAAUCAUAGUGAAAAGCCACAGAGAUAUGGUGUCCUUCGGGGCGCUAUGAAGGUGGUGCAUGGCUGUCGUCAGCUCGUGUCGUGAGAUGUUGGGUUAAGUCCCGCAACGAGCGCAACCCUUGUUCUAUGUUGCCAGCACGUAAUGGUGGGGACUCGUAGAAGACUGCCGGGGUCAACUCGGAGGAAGGUAAU